rnacentral:tRNA from 1 species
UAGCCUUGAAAUCAAUUUCUACUC